AAUCCACUUCCUCCCAGUUUGGGUGGAGAACUGUCGGUUGUCCAUGCAAUACUGGACUCUGAUUAAAAGCAGUAGGUUUGUGAUCAGGCUGGUGGCCUGGGACAUUGUGUGCUAGAGACGCGGUUCGCGCCGCAAGUCUUCUCACAAUGGGUCCUGGGUCCUUUGAAAAGCUGGCUUGAUCUCUGCCUGCCUUAGUGCUGUUACUGCCUUGCGGUAGUCAAUAGUACAACCCCACAC
rnacentral:misc_RNA from 1 species